GCGCGGCCUAUACAUGCAAGUCGAACGAACUCUGGUAUUGAUUGGUGCUUGCAUCAUGAUUUACAUUUGAGUGAGUGGCGAACUGGUGAGUAACACGUGGGAAACCUGCCCAGAAGCGGGGGAUAACACCUGGAAACAGAUGCUAAUACCGCAUAACAACUUGGACCGCAUGGUCCGAGUUUGAAAGAUGGCUUCGGCUAUCACUUUUGGAUGGUCCCGCGGCGUAUUAGCUAGAUGGUGGGGUAACGGCUCACCAUGGCAAUGAUACGUAGCCGACCUGAGAGGGUAAUCGGCCACAUUGGGACUGAGACACGGCCCAAACUCCUACGGGAGGCAGCAGUAGGGAAUCUUCCACAAUGGACGAAAGUCUGAUGGAGCAACGCCGCGUGAGUGAAGAAGGGUUUCGGCUCGUAAAACUCUGUUGUUAAAGAAGAACAUAUCUGAGAGUAACUGUUCAGGUAUUGACGGUAUUUAACCAGAAAGCCACGGCUAACUACGUGCCAGCAGCCGCGGUAAUACGUAGGUGGCAAGCGUUGUCCGGAUUUAUUGGGCGUAAAGCGAGCGCAGGCGGUUUUUUAAGUCUGAUGUGAAAGCCUUCGGCUCAACCGAAGAAGUGCAUCGGAAACUGGGAAACUUGAGUGCAGAAGAGGACAGUGGAACUCCAUGUGUAGCGGUGAAAUGCGUAGAUAUAUGGAAGAACACCAGUGGCGAAGGCGGCUGUCUGGUCUGUAACUGACGCUGAGGCUCGAAAGUAUGGGUAGCAAACAGGAUUAGAUACCCUGGUAGUCCAUACCGUAAACGAUGAAUGCUAAGUGUUGGAGGGUUUCCGCCCUUCAGUGCUGCAGCUAACGCAUUAAGCAUUCCGCCUGGGGAGUACGGCCGCAAGGCUGAAACUCAAAGGAAUUGACGGGGGCCCGCACAAGCGGUGGAGCAUGUGGUUUAAUUCGAAGCUACGCGAAGAACCUUACCAGGUCUUGACAUACUAUGCAAAUCUAAGAGAUUAGACGUUCCCUUCGGGGACAUGGAUACAGGUGGUGCAUGGUUGUCGUCAGCUCGUGUCGUGAGAUGUUGGGUUAAGUCCCGCAACGAGCGCAACCCUUAUUAUCAGUUGCCAGCAUUAAGUUGGGCACUCUGGUGAGACUGCCGGUGACAAACCGGAGGAAGGUGGGGAUGACGUCAAAUCAUCAUGCCCCUUAUGACCUGGGCUACACACGUGCUACAAUGGAUGGUACAACGAGUUGCGAACUCGCGAGAGUAAGCUAAUCUCUUAAAGCCAUUCUCAGUUCGGAUUGUAGGCUGCAACUCGCCUACAUGAAGUCGGAAUCGCUAGUAAUCGCGGAUCAGCAGCCU
rnacentral:rRNA from 1 species